AGAGUUUGAUCAUGGCUCAGAGUGAACGCUGGCGGCAGGCCUAAUACAUGCAAGUCGAACGGCAGCACAGCAGGAGCUUGCUCUGUGGGUGGCGAGGUGGCGGACGGGUGAGGAAUACGUGGGAAUCUGCCCAGUCGUGGGGGAUAACGUAGGGAAACUUACGCUAAUACCGCAUGCGCCCUUCGGGGGAAAGCCGGGGACCUUCGGGCCUGGCGCGAUUGGAUGAGCCCACGUCGGAUUAGCUAGUUGGCGGGGUAAAGGCCCACCAAGGCGACGAUCCGUAGCUGGUCUGAGAGGAUGAUCAGCCACACUGGAACUGAGACACGGUCCAGACUCCUACGGGAGGCAGCAGUAGGGAAUAUUGGACAAUGGGCGCAAGCCUGAUCCAGCCAUGCCGCGUGAGUGAAGAAGGCCCUCGGGUUGUAAAGCUCUUUUGUCCGGAAAGAAAAGCGCCGGGUUAAUACCCUGGUGUCCUGACGGUACCGGAAGAAUAAGCACCGGCUAACUUCGUG
rnacentral:rRNA from 1 species